rnacentral:lncRNA from 1 species
UGUGACCAAUCCUGCCCAGUGAAGUCUUCAACUCCAAUCCAUUGUAGUGUCUGGUAUCUCAGUUGGGAUGCAAAAGUGCAUUGCACAAAUAAGUGAUCUUUAGUUUCCAUAUCUUGCUGGCACAUAACACAGAUGCCCGAUACAUUCAGAUUCCAUUGCAGCAGUCUAUUCUUUGUAGGAAGUCUAUCUUGUAGUAACAGCCACAAAUUGAAGAUAGCUUUAGGUCUAGCAGCAUUCUGUAUUACCAAAUUCUUCCAAGGGACUCUAGUUGAUUCUCCAAGCAGUUGCAAGUAUAAUUUCCU